GGGGAUUUAGCUCAGUGGUGUAAGCACCUGCCUUGCGAGCAGGCAGUUGUGAGUUCGGUCCCCG
rnacentral:tRNA from 1 species